rnacentral:rRNA from 1 species
GGAGGGGGCGAGCGUUAUUCGGAAUUAUUGGGCGUAAAGGGCAGGUAGGCGGCUUCGUGUGUCCUCUGUGAAAGCCCCCGGCUCAACCGGGGAAUUGCAGGGGAAACUGCGGAGCUUGAGUCCGGGAGAGGGUAGUGGAAUUCCCAGUGUAGCGGUGAAAUGCGUAGAUAUUGGGAGGAACACCAGUGGCGAAGGCGACUACCUGGACCGGUACUGACGCUGAGCUGCGAAAGCCAGGGGAGCGAACGGGAUUAGAUACCCCGGUAGUCCUGGCUGUAAACGAUGAGCACUUGGUGUGGCGGGUAUCGACCCCCCUGCUGUGCCGAAGCUAACGCAUUAAGUGCUCCGCCUGGGGAGUACGGUCGCAAGGCUG